GCGGCAGUGGUGUAGUGGCUAUCAUACUGCCUUGCCAAGGCUGUGACCCGGGUUCGAAAGGCCCAAGUACGCUGGGCGAACGUUGUCAAGUGGUGUUGCACUCCGUUCAACACCACGAGCAGCUUUACAGCGUAUGGCGAUUGAAAGUCCCGGCUGCCGCA
rnacentral:tRNA from 1 species